AUCGCUUCUCGGCCUUUUGGCUAAGAUCAAGUGUAGUAUCUGUUCUUAUCAGUUUAAUAUCUGAUAUGUCCUCUAUAUGAGGACUACAUAUUAAGUUAAGCAGAUUUUGGCAUGAGGCGGUAAUUUGAAGCUUGCUCCUUUCUUCCCCCACCGACCUAGCAUUGCAGUGCCGCUGGGAACGUGCACUCUGU